rnacentral:rRNA from 1 species
GAUGAACGCUGGCGGCGUGCCUAAUACAUGCAAGUCGAGCGAAUGGAUUAAGAGCUUGCUCUUAUGAAGUUAGCGGCGGACGGGUGAGUAACACGUGGGUAACCUGCCCAUAAGACUGGGAUAACUCCGGGAAACCGGGGCUAAUACCGGAUAACAUUUUGAACCGCAUGGUUCGAAAUUGAAAGGCGGCUUCGGCUGUCACUUAUGGAUGGACCCGCGUCGCAUUAGCUAGUUGGUGCGGUAACGGCUCACCAAGGCAACGAUGCGUAGCCGACCUGAGAGGGUGAUAGGCCAAACUGGGACUGAGACACGGCCCAGACGCCUACGGGAGGCAGCAGUAGGGAAUCUUCCGCAAUGGACGAAAGUCUGACGGAGCAACGCCGCGUGAGUGAUGAAGGCUUUCGGGUCGUAAAACUCUGUUGUUAGGGAAGAACAAGUGCUAGUUGAAUAAGCUGGCACCUUGACGGUACCUAACCAGAAAGCCACGGCUAACUACGUGCCAGCAGCCGCCGUAA